GCUAAAAAAAAGCUAAAACAAAGCUCGGUCGGUUUUCCGGAGGAGUUUUUUGGGCGAGAUAUGACCUGCGGCGGCCUCCCCAUCUCGCCGGCGCCGAUGCCGACGGUGGCGGCCCCGCUGGAGGACGAGAACCUCCUCCCAGAAAUCCUCGUCCGCCUAGCCCCGCUGCCGUCCGCCCUCCCGCGCGCCUCCCUCGUCUGCAAGCGCUGGCGCUGCCUCGUCUCCGACCGCCGCUUCGUCCGCCGCUUCCGCGCCCACCACCUCCGCAGCCCCCCUCCCCUGAUCGGCUUCUUCGAGGAGGUCACCCGCGAGCCCUCCCCAGACUCCCCCAGCAGCCUCUUCUUCACCCCCAUCCUGGAUCCCCCCAACCGCGUCCCGGUCACAGCCGCUUCUCCUUGGACUUCCGCAACGGCGACGGCCGCACGAUCCUCGGCUGCCGCGACGGCCUCGUGCUCCUCGUCGACGCGGGGAGUGCCGAGAUCGAGGUCCUGGUGUGGGACCCCGUCACCGGCGACCAGCACCGCUUCGUCGUCCCUCCGGUGAUCGACGAGCGCCAGGUCGUCGAGAUCUUAAACGGCGCGGUUCUUCGCACCGCCGGGAUCCUCGACGACCGCCCAUUCCGGUUCCAGGUGGUCUUGGCAGGCAUCGACAGGCCAAACAAGCGGCUGUUCGCCUGCGUUUACUCGUCGGAGACCAGCAAAUGGGGUGAUCCAAUUUGGGUAUCCGUGGAUUCGCCGAGCAACGUUCGCACCACGGUUUCUAUGCGUGUCUCCAGUACCCUGGUUGGGAAUUCCCUCUACUGGUCGCUAAAUGGGGAUACCGCUGCCAUCCUUCAGUUUGAUUUGGGCACACAACGCCUAGCUGCGAUACCGCUGCCACUGGAUAAGUGCAGCGAUGGCAGCCGCUCCUUCCGGGCUAUGCCCGUGGACGGUGGCGGGCUUGGCAUCCUUGAGCUGUUGGACUUCAACAUCCAGUUGUGGAAAAGGGAGAUCGACCGUGACGGUGUUGUUUCAUGGGUGCUGGGGAAAACUAUUGAAUUGGAUCAGCUUCUUUCCCUGGACAAGAGGGGAAUGAGUCCAAUGAUGCUGGGGUAUUGCGAGGUCAAUAAUGUGGUGUUCCUAAGGACAGUAUUCAGUAUUUUCAUUGUCCAGCUUGAGUCAUUGAAGUUCAGCAAGCCCCCCAUACAGGCAUCUUACUUCUUGGUUCAUCCAUUCACAAGUGUUUAUACUGCAGACAUGGGCAUUGGUGGUGGACCUGAUGAAGCCAAACUUCUGUGUAAUGCAAUGCAUAAGGUGACUGCAUUGUGAUACAUUGGUUGAGCAGCUGCAGAGUGACUUUACCGGCGCAGGUUCUGUCGGUGCGGAAGUUGAUCUUCUACGGAGCGUGUUCUGGUCAACUGCGAAGUAGAUUUGUCGGAUUUAUCCCCUGGUAAAAUAAAAAGAUUUGUACUACCUCCAAUCCAUAAAAAGUGUCGCAGUUUUGAACUAAACCCAGUUCAAAACCGCGACACUUAUUUUGGAUCAGAGGGAGUAGGGUUUAUCUGUCCAGUUUGGUACCCUCCGUUCCAAAUUACUUGUAGGCAUCAUCCAACUGGCAUGAUGACAAGCAGCGACUUGGUUAGGCUAGUAAAUACUCAUUCAGUAGCAUCGGCUAUGUGAUUAUUGCCCCCGGUUUCAUUCUCAUUACGCCUUGUAUGCAGUGUGGAGAUUUCAUUCUCGGAUUUCUGCUACUGGUACCAAAAUGUUGAAUUGAUUGACUUGUGAAAGACGAA